rnacentral:rRNA from 1 species
AUUGAACGCUGGCGGCAGGCCUAACUCAUGUAAGUCGAACGGUAACAGAAAGCAGCUUGCUGCUUCUCUGACGCGUGGCAGGCGCGUGAGCAAUGACUGAGAAACUGCCUGAUGGAGGGGGAUAACUACUGGAAACGGUAGCUAAUACCGCAUAACGUCGCAAGACCAAAGAGGGGGACCUUUGGGCCCCUCGCCAUCGGCUGUCCCCGGAUGGGCUUAGCUAGUAUGUGGGGUAAAGGCUCACCUAGGCGACGAUCCCUAGCUGGUCUGAGAGGAUGACCAGCCACACUGGAACGGAGACACGGUCCAGACCCCUGCGGGAGGCAGCAGUGAGGAAUAUUGCCCAAUGGGCGCAGACCUGAUGCAACCAUGCCGCGUGUAUGAAGAGGGCCUUCGGGUUGUAAAGUACUUUCAGCGGGGAGGAAGGGAGUAAAGUUAAUACCUUUCCUCAUUGACGUUACCCGCAGAAGAAGCACCGGCUAACUCCGUG